CCUACGGGUGGCAGCAGUGAGGAAUAUUGGUCAAUGGGCGCGAGCCUGAACCAGCCAAGUAGCGUGAAGGAUGAAUGCCCUACGGGUUGUAAACUUCUUUUAUAAAGGAAUAAAGUGAGGCACGUGUGCCUUUUUGCAUGUACUUUAUGAAUACGGAUCGGCUAACUCUGUUCCCGCAGCCGCGGUAAUACGGAGAAACCGAGCGUUAUCCGGAUUUAUUGGGUUUAAAGGUAGCGUAGAUGGGUUGUUAAGUCAGUUGUGAAAGUUUGCGGCUCAACCGUCAAAUUGCAAUUGAUACUGGCAGUCUGGAGUACAGUGGAGGUAGGCGGAAUUCGUGGUGUAGCGGUGAAAUGCUUAGAUAUCACGAAGAACUCCGAUUGCGAAGGCAGCUUACUAAACUGCCACUGACAUUGAUGCUCGAAAGUGUGGGUAUCAAACAGGAUUAGAUACCCGAGUAGUC
rnacentral:rRNA from 1 species